rnacentral:rRNA from 1 species
UGGGGAAUAUUGGACAAUGGGCGCAAGCCUGAUCCAGCCAUGCCGCGUGGGUGAUGAAGGCCUUAGGGUUGUAAAGCCCUUUCGGCGGGGAAGAUAAUGACGGUACCCGCAGAAGAAGCCCCGGCUAACUUCGUGCCAGCAGCCGCGGUAAUACGAAGGGGGCUAGCGUUGCUCGGAAUUACUGGGCGUAAAGCGCACGUAGGCGGCUUGUUAAGUCGGGGGGUGAAAUCCCGGAGCUCAACUCCGGAACUGCCUUCGAUACUGGCAAGCUCGAGUCCGGGAGAGGUGAGUGGAACUGCGAGUGUAGAGGUGAAAUUCGUAGAUAUUCGCAAGAACACCAGUGGCGAAGGCGGCUCACUGGCCCGGUACUGACGCUGAGGUGCGAAAGCGUGGGGAGCAAACA